rnacentral:rRNA from 1 species
AUACGUAGGGAGCGAGCGUUGUCCGGAAUUACUGGGUGUAAAGGGAGCGUAGGCGGGACUGCAAGUCAGAUGUGAAAUACCGGGGCUUAACCCCGGAGCUGCAUUUGAAACUGUGGUUCUUGAGUGAAGUAGAGGCAAGCGGAAUUCCUGGUGUAGCGGUGAAAUGCGUAGAUAUCAGGAGGAACACCGGUGGCGAAGGCGGCUUGCUGGGCUUUUACUGACGCUGAGGCUCGAAAGCGUGGGUAGCAAACAGGAUUAGAUACCCUGGUAGUCCACGCUGUAAACGAUGAUUACUAGGUGUGGGGGGACUGACCCCUUCCGUGCCGCAGUUAACACAAUUAGUAAUCCACCUGGGGAGUACGGCCGCAAGGUUGAAACUCAAAGGAAUUGACGGGG